GUGAAUCAUCAAAUUUUUGAACGCAAAUUGCACUCUCCGGUUUUCCGGGAGAUUAUGCCUGUUUGAGGGUCAGCCUAAAAAAAAUCGACAUUGUUGCUGUUUUAUGGUGACUUUCGUCGUAGAUGUGUUAUCUUAAAUCUCGGUUUAAGCGACUUAAAAAUUUUUUUACGAUUCUAUUAAUGUGUCUAUGAUUUUUCUUUUACGUUUAAGGUAUCGUAUGUCUUAUUAGACGGAUCCGUCAUAUCGGUUCGGGUCCAUAAUU
rnacentral:misc_RNA from 1 species